rnacentral:rRNA from 1 species
CCUACGGGAGGCAGCAGUGAGGAAUAUUGGUCAAUGGACGCGAGUCUGAACCAGCCAAGCAGCGUGAAGGAUGACUGCCCUAUGGGUUGUAAACUUCUUUUGUAUGGGAGUAAAAUGUUCCACGUGUGGGAUUUUGUAUGUACCAUAUGAAUAAGGAUCGGCUAACUCCGUGCCAGCAGCCGCGGUAAUACGGAGGAUCCGAGCGUUAUCCGGAUUUAUUGGGUUUAAAGGGGGCGUAGGUGGAUUGUUAAGUCAGUUGUGAAAGUUUGCGGCUCAACCGUAAAAUUGCAGUUGAAACUGGACGUCUUGAGUACAGUAGAGGUAGGCGGAAUUCGUGGUGUAGCGGUGAAAUGCUUAGAUAUCACGAAGAACUCCGAUUGCGAAGGCAGCUCACUGGACUGCAACUGACACUGAGGCUCGAAAGCGUGGGUAGCAAACAGGAUUAGAUACCCCGGUAGUC